ACCCAUGGCCUUCAUGGGUUGUGGUGGAAAAGCUUUUGCGGUGUGGGAUGGGCCCGCGGCCUAUCAGCUUGUUGGUGGGGUAAUGGCCUACCAAGGCGACGACGGGUAGCCGGCCUGAGAGGGUGACCGGCCACACUGGGACUGAGAUACGGCCCAGACUCCUACGGGAGGCAGCAGUGGGGAAUAUUGCACAAUGGGCGCAAGCCUGAUGCAGCGACGCCGCGUGGGGGAUGACGGCCUUCGGGUUGUAAACCUCUUUCAGCACAGACGAAGCGUGAGUGACGGUAUGUGCAGAAGAAGCACCGGCCAACUACGUGCCAGCAGCCGCGGUAAUACGUAGGGUGCGAGCGUUGUCCGGAAUUACUGGGCGUAAAGAGCUCGUAGGUGGUUUGUCGCGUUGUUCGUGAAAACUCACAGCUUAACUGUGGGCGUGCGGGCGAUACGGGCAGACUGGAGUACUGCAGGGGAGACUGGAAUUCCUGGUGUAGCGGUGGAAUGCGCAGAUAUCAGGAGGAACACCGGUGGCGAAGGCGGGUCUCUGGGCAGUAACUGACGCUGAGGAGCGAAAGCGUGGGGAGCGAACAGGAUUAGAUACCCUGGUAGUCCACGCCGUAAACGGUGGGUACUAGGUGUGGGUUUCC
rnacentral:rRNA from 1 species